AUCUUUGCGCUUGGUUGGGGCAAUGACGCAGCUAAUAAGGUUCGAACCGAGACACGUCGAUUGUUAGUUGAAAACUAUUUUCAAAUCCCUUUUUAGUCCUCGAGCUUGAAUCGAGUUUUUGAAUUUUUUUUGAAUUUGAAUUUUUUUG